rnacentral:tRNA from 1 species
GGGCUCUUAGCUCAGUUGGUAGAGCAGCGGACUCUUAAUCCGUAGGUCGAGUGUUCGAGCCACUCAGGGCCCACCA